GUUUUACCGUACCAUAUUAAUGUAGUUAUAUUCAAUGCAACGUAAUUUCAAAGGGUUCUUGAAAAUAUCAUAUUCAA
rnacentral:tRNA from 1 species